UCAGAUUGAACGUUGGCGGCAGGCCUAACACAUGCAAGUCGAGCGGUAACAGAGAGUAAGCUUGCUUACUUUGCUGACGAGCGGCGGACGGGUGAGUAAUGCCUAGGGAUCUGCCCAGUCGAGGGGGAUAACAGUUGGAAACGACUGCUAAUACCGCAUACGCCCUACGGGGGAAAGGAGGGGACCUUCGGGCCUUCCGCGAUUGGAUGAACCUAGGUGGGAUUAGCUAGUUGGUGAGGUAAUGGCUCACCAAGGCGACGAUCCCUAGCUGUUCUGAGAGGAUGAUCAGCCACACUGGGACUGAGACACGGC
rnacentral:rRNA from 1 species